rnacentral:tRNA from 1 species
GCCCGGGUGGCGGAAUUGGUAGACGCGCCGGACUCAAAAUCCGGUGGCAGCGAUGUCGUAAGGGUUCGAGUCCCUUCCCGGGUACAA